ACUCCUGACCUCAGGUGAUCUGCCCACCUCGGCCUCCCAAACUGCUGGGAUUACAGGUGUGAGCCAUUGCACCGAGCUUGCAUAUAUAUUUUUCAAAGGGAUAUGCAAAUACUGUUAAUUGUGUUACAAUUUUGGCCAGAAAUGAAGCCCCUGGGGCCAGUCCGAGAAUGCUGCAGUGUUUUGCCAAUUUUAAACCUGUUUUCAUUCCUUCUUUGAUUUCUGGAUGAAGUAUGAGCCACUUUUAUCAUUCUGCAUAGAUGGUUAUCAGCCCGGCUGUUCCCUCAUCAAAUUAAUUAAUAAAGAUUCCAAAUGAGUCAUAAUUUCAUCCAAGGAGUAAUUUUGGCAAGAGGAUGACUUGGCUGAAGUUUCUCACUUGUCUUUCUCCAAAGAGAACAUUAGUCUUAAGAGUCUUGGCCACAUUCUGUACUGCAUCCCUGUGGACCAUCACCUGCCAUUGGAUGGAGUGGGGUUUCCCUACUCUAAAGAUGACAACACAGAGAAUAAAAUCUCUACUAUACUCACAUGUUUCAAGGGAAAAAUAAACCUAAUAACUAUUUAGGUGGGAAAUGGCUUUGGAGUCUGAUAAGUCAGGAUUGAAAUACUGUUUUCAUCAGUUAUUUGCUAUAUAACUUCAGUUUCCUGUCUAAAAAUGGAGUAAUAAUUCUGUAACCCACAUGCAAGUAGACCUUGUUAAAUUACCGUAUGCUUAUAUAAGAUUGAGCUCAGCCUAUUGACAUUUUUGGGAAAAAUAAAAGCCAGAAUCUGCAAUGAGAAGUAAUGAAGACUUAUGACUAGAGGUUACUCAGGAAAAAAUAAGACUAUUGCAUUAUAUAUCACAUAAGCAAGUUUCUCUAAAACUCCUCUUUAAGCAUUUUUACUUCCACCCACCGCACCCCUCCAUCACCAUUGCAGUACCUACAUCCAUUUUCAUAUGCAUUAGUUAGGGUAAUGCCUAGCUAGUAUAACAGAGUCCCAAAAUCCAAAAUGCAGUGGUUUAAAGGAAAAAGAUGCUCUCUGUCUCUGUCUGUCUCUCUCUCUCUCUCCCCACCCCUUUCACAACAGCUAAGAUAUAAAUAAUCCUGGCCAGCAGGGCAGCUCUGUUCUCUUGUUAUUCAACAACCCAGGUUAUUUCUAAACCGUAGCUCUGCAUUGUCAUUAUCUGCAUAAUAUGAUAAAAGUAUAUGGAUUCUAGAUGGAGGGAAGGGAAAAGAGAGUGUGAAGGAGGCACAGCUCUGUGUCUGAAGAUCCAGGCUCAUAAGUGCACAUUUCACUUCUUCUUGUUACCGGAAAGGGGUCCCAAUCCAGACCCCAAGAGACGGUUCGUGGAUCUCGCCCAAGAAAGAAUUCAGGGCACGCCUGUAAAG
rnacentral:lncRNA from 10 species